UCAAAACCUUAAAAACCAAACAAGUCACACUAUAAAACUAUAGCUAUAUUAAUGUUAGAAUUAGUAAUAAGAAAACUUGAUUUUCUCUAUACCAUCUGUGUAUAUCAGCAUCGAACCCAUCACUGAUAAUUACCAAACCUAAUAUAAAAACUUUACUAGCAACCCAAUUUACACUUAUUGCUAACCCUACACAGGAAUGGGAGUGAAAAAUUAAAAAAUAAAAAAGGAAUUCGGCAAACAUAAGCUUCGCCUGUUUACCAAAAACAUCACCUCUAGCUAAAUACACAUAUAUUAGAGCACUGCCUGCCCAGUGAACUUAUUCAACGGCCGCGGUAUUCCGACCGUGCAAAGGUAGCAUAAUCACUUGUCUUUUAAAUCAAGACUAGUAUGAACGGCAAAACGAAAGCUUAACUGUCUCCUUUAUUCAAUUAAUGAAAUUGAACUUCUUGUACAAAAGCAAGAAUUACCUAAUAAGACGAGAAGACCCUAUGGAACUUAAACCACACAACCAACUUAAUUAAUUAAUAAACUAAAUUCUGGACCCGUUGGUUUUGGUUGGGACGACCGUGGAGAAAAAAAAUCCUCCAAGAAUUUAACCAAGAUAAACAUAACAAAGUCUCAAAAACUUGAACACUUGACCCAAUACAUUUGACAAACGAACCAAGCUACCCUAGGGAUAACAGCGCAAUCUUCUUUAAGAGUCCAUAUCACUAAGAAGGUUUACGACCUCGAUGUUGGAUCAGGAUACCCAAACAGU
rnacentral:rRNA from 1 species